rnacentral:rRNA from 1 species
AGUAACCUGCCUUGGAGUGGGGAAUAACAGCUGGAAACAGCUGCUAAUACCGCAUAAUAUAUCUGGGUCGCAUGGCUCUGGAUAUCAAAGAUUUAUCGCUCUGAGAUGGACUCGCGUCUGAUUAGCUAGUUGGUGGGGCAACGGCCCACCAAGGCGACGAUCAGUAGCCGGACUGAGAGGUUGGCCGGCCGCAUUGGGACUGAGACACGGCCCAGACUCCUACGGGAGGCAGCAG